UACGUAGGGUGCAAGCGUUAAUCGGAAUUACUGGGCGUAAAGCGUGCGCAGGCGGUUUUGUAAGUCAGAUGUGAAAUCCCCGGGCUUAACCUGGGAACUGCGUUUGAAACUACAAGGCUAGAGUGUGGCAGAGGGGGUGGAAUUCCGACGUGUAGCAGUGAAAUGCGUAGAUAUGACGGAGGAACACCGAUGGCGAAGGCAAUCCCCUGGGCCUGUACUGACGCUCAUGCACGAAAGCGUGGGGAGCAAACAGGA
rnacentral:rRNA from 1 species